rnacentral:rRNA from 1 species
GACGAACGCUGGCGGCGUGCUUAACACAUGCAAGUCGAACGGAAAGGCCCUGCUUUUGUGGGGUGCUCGAGUGGCGAACGGGUGAGUAACACGUGAGUAACCUGCCCUUGACUUUGGGAUAACUUCAGGAAACUGGGGCUAAUACCGGAUAGGAGCUCCUGCUGCAUGGUGGGGGUUGGAAAGUUUCGGCGGUUGGGGAUGGACUCGCGGCUUAUCAGCUUGUUGGUGGGGUAGUGGCUUACCAAGGCUUUGACGGGUAGCCGGCCUGGGAGGGUGACCGGCCACAUUGGGACUGGGAUGCGGCCCAGACUCCUUCGGGAGGCAACAGUGGGGAAUAUUGCACAAUGGGCGGAGGCCUGAUGCAGCAACGCCGCGUGCGGGAUGACGGCCUUCGGGUUGUAAACCGCUUUCGCCUGUGACGAAGCGUGAGUGACGGUAAUGGGUAAAGAAGCACCGGCUAACUACGU